CAAUAGUUAUAACUCAUGAUUAUAUUGUAAUACAACUUAAGGUAUUAAGUUAUCUAUAUUAAGGGAUAUGUCAAUAAUUAUAUGUGAUUACAUAAAUAACUAUAGUAUAAACAUACCUAUUAUAAAUAUAAUACCUAAGGGUAAUUGUUAUAUAAGUGUAUGAAUAAUUAUAGUAUUAAUUAUACCAUUACUAUAUGUCAUAAUUAAUGUACAAUUAUGUAUGAUAUUAUAACAAAUCAUUAUAUAUUUACACUAUACAAUGAAUAUUACUAUGUUAGUAUAUUUAGUAUGAUAAUACUAAAUAUAGUUACUAUAUUUAUAUAUUAAUAUACUAUAUAUACUAUAUAUAUUAUGAAAACUAAUAUAUGGUAUAAUGAUAUACUAAUAUGUAUAAUACAUAACUAUAUGUGAUGUAAGUUAUAUUAGAUAAUACUAUUAAUGUUAUGAUUACUUAUUACGUAUAAGGUUAGAUAGAUAUAUAAUAUAUCCUAUAUGUAUAUAAUUAUGGACUAUGAAAUAAUUUGAUAUAUUAAACUAUGAUAAUCGUAUCAGUGUAACAUAACUUAUAUACUCUUGUUACUAAUAUAUAGAUAUCUAAUAUUAUAUGCACUAAUUUAUAUCAAUUUACGGGUAUAACUUAUAGUUAUAAUACUAAUUACUAUAAUUAAAUCAUUUAAUUGGUAUAAACUAUUAUAGUUAUUACUUAUAAUAGUUUAUACAAUAUAUUAAUACAUUAAUUAUCACAUAUUCAGUAUAUCAAUUGUGAUAUAUACUAAGGAUAUGUAAUGAAUCCAUCUAGAUUAAUAGGUGAUAUGUUAUCAUAUAUCAAUAAGGUAUUGGGUAUAUAGUUUAUAGUAUCCAUACCAUAUGAAAUAUUAUAUAGAUAAUUCAUAAUUGGAAUAAUCAUUUAUAGGAUAUACAUAUUAAUCUAUAUGUGACUUGAUUAUAUUGAUGAUAUAGGGAUAUAUCUUUGUAUACAUUGGUUUAUAUCAAUGUAUACACCUCGAUAUAUAUGCAUAUAACAUAUAUAUUAUGCAUAUGUUGUUUGACAUAAGAGUAUAAUAAAUUAACUAUAGUUAUAUGGAUAAUAGCACAUCACUAUUAAUAUCUAUAGUAUGUUGUAUAGAAAUCAUGAUACAAUAUACGUAUACAAUUGAAUAUAGUAUAAUAAUUGCUAUACGAAAUACAAUAUAUAAAUAUAUCCACAUAUUGUACUUUAUUAUGGGUUAUCAUAUUUUAUUAUAUGGUUUACAUAUUAUAAUAUGUGAUUAUUUGACACCUUAAGAUAUAAUAUGUAAACCUUAAGGUACCUACAUAUUAUACUUGGUAUUAUACUGGUACAUUAUAAAUUAUACAAUAUUAUACAUAAUCAUAACUAUAUUAUUGUGUUUAUGAGUACCUAUUAUAUAUGAUAUAAUAAUCUAAUAUAUCAGUCAACUAAUUAGAUAUAAUUAUAAUUAUUCAUGAUACUUAAUAAUUAUUACCUUAUAAGUGUUAAUAUCAAUUAUGAUAUAAUUAUCUACCUAAACCAAUAUAAU
rnacentral:lncRNA from 1 species